GCUAUACCCUCUAAAAACAAAAUCUUCAUUUAUUUGAAGACACAAUUCUCUGUACGGGCACUUGCCAUGACUUUAUUUUUGAAUAUUUCUGUGUUCAUGUGGUAGGGAAAACAUUGUUGUAUACUACAAAUUCCCUGUUUUGCUUUUAGGUUGGAGACUACAUAAGACUUUGACAGUUGGCGGGAAACCAUCAUCAACUGGAGAGAUGCCGGUAGAGGAAUGUCUGCGACUAAGUCAUGGGCCACUGGAUAAGGGUUGUUGAUGGCAAAACAGGUUGGAGACUACAUAAGACUUUGACAGUUGGCGGGAAACCAUCAUCAACUGGAGAGAUGCCGGUAAAAAGAUGGCCAUAAAACAGUGACCGCUGA